AGUGAACGCUGGCGGUAGGCCUAACACAUGCAAGUCGAACGGCAGCACAGUAAGAGCUUGCUCUUACGGGUGGCGAGUGGCGGACGGGUGAGGAAUACAUCGGAAUCUACUUUUUCGUGGGGGAUAACGUAGGGAAACUUACGCUAAUACCGCAUACGACCUACGGGUGAAAGCAGGGGAUCUUCGGACCUUGCGCGAUUGAAUGAGCCGAUGUCGGAUUAGCUAGUUGGCGGGGUAAAGGCCCACCAAGGCGACGAUCCGUAGCUGGUCUGAGAGGAUGUUCGGCAACAUUGAACUGAGAAACGGGUCCGACUCCUAACGGGAGGCGGAGGUGGGAAUUUUUGGCCAUGGGCGCAAGCCUGAUCCAGCCAUACCGCGUGGGUGAAGAAGGCCUUCGGGUUGUAAAGCCCUUUUGUUGGGAAAGAAAAGCAGCAGGUUAAUACCCCGCUGUUCUGACGGUACCCAAAGAAUAAGCACCGGCUAACUUCGUG
rnacentral:rRNA from 1 species